rnacentral:rRNA from 1 species
GGCGUAGGCGGUAAAAGAAGUCAUCUGUGAAAACCUAUUGCUCAACGAUAGGCUAGCGGAUGAAACUGAAUUACUUGAGGGCACCAGAGGUAGACGGAAUUACCCGAGUAGGGGUGAAAUCCGCAGAUACGGGUAGGAACGCCGGUGGAGAAGUCGGUCUACUGGGGUGCACCAGACGCUGAGGCCCGAAAGCUAGGGGAGCAAACC